rfam:Solanum tuberosum cultivar DM 1-3 516 R44 scf00336_26, whole genome shotgun sequence.
AUUUCCAGAAAAAGCGACGGACAGUGUCCUUUUAUCCGUCGCUUUUCUGGGAUUUU